GUCUGGUGUGUGUAAAGGUGGUGGCCUGUCUGGUGUCUGGUGUGUGUAAAGGUGGUGGCCUGUCUGGUGUCUGUAAAGGUGGUGGCCUGUCUGGUGUCUGUAAAGGUGGUGGCCUGUCUGGUGUCUGUAAAGGUGGUGGCCUGUCUGGUGUCUGUAAAGGUGGUGGCCUGUCUGGUGUCUGUAAAGGUGGUGGCCUGUCUGGUGUCUGUAAAGGUGGUGGCCUGUCUGGUGUCUGUAAAGGUGGUGGUCUGUCUGGUGUCUGUAAAGGUGGUGGCCUGUCUGGUGUCUGUAAAGGUGGUGGCCUGUCUGGUGUCUGUAAAGGUGGUGGCCUGUCUGGUGUCUGUAAAGGUGGUGGCCUGUCUGGUGUCUGUAAAGGUGGUGGCCUGUCUGGUGUCUGUAAAGGUGGUGGCCUGUCUGGUGUCUGUAAAGGUGGUGGCCUGUCUGGUGUCUGUAAAGGUGGUGGCCUGUCUGGUGUCUGUAAAGGUGGUGGCCUGUCUGGUGUCUGUAAAGGUGGUGGUCUGUCUGGUGUCUGUAAAGGUGGUGGCCUGUCUGGUGUCUGUAAAGGUGGUGGCCUGUCUGGUGUCUGUAAAGGUGGUGGCCUGUCUGGUGUCUGUAAAGGUGGUGGCCUGUCUGGUGUCUGUA